CAGUAGCCGCGGUAAUACGUAGGGUGCGAGCGUUAAUCGGAAUUACUGGGCGUAAAGCGUGCGCAGGCGGUUUUGUAAGACAGGCGUGAAAUCCCCGGGCUCAACCUGGGAAUGGCAGUGGAUACUGGCUCGCUAGAGUGUGUCAGAGGAUGGUGGAAUUCCCGGUGUAGCGGUGAAAUGCGUAGAGAUCGGGAGGAACAUCAGUGGCGAAGGUGGCCAUCUGGGACAACACUGACGCUGAGGCACGAAAGCGUGGGGAGCAAACAGGAUUAGAUACCCGCGUAGUCCCUGUCUCUUAUAA
rnacentral:rRNA from 1 species